CAGCCGUUAGCUUUGCAUGCUACUUUACCGACAAGAUUGAACAGGUAAGGAAAGACUUCUUCCCACCUUGCCAUUCUCUUUCGCAACCACACAUAGAUCAUGCCUUUCCUACACUUCAGACUUUCUCCCUGGCUACUGAACAAGAGGCGGCUGCGGUUCUCCUUUCCUCUCGCCCCACCACUUCCCCGCUCGAUCCUGUCCCAUCUCACCUUAUCAGAGCUCUCUCC